rnacentral:snRNA from 1 species
GUAUUUAGUAUAAAACACAUCCGAUAAAAUUGAAACGAUAAUGAGAAAAUUAGCAUGAUCGUUGCACAAGUAUGACACACAAAUUGAGAAAUAUAUGAUUUUAAU